GGCCUUGCGCUCUUUGAGCGGCCGAUGUCAGAUUAGCUAGUUGGUGAGGUAAAGGCUUACCAAGGCGACGAUCUGUAGCGGGUCUGAGAGGAUGAUCCGCCACACUGGAACUGAGACACGGUCCAGACUCCUACGGGAGGCAGCAGUGGGGAAUUUUGGACAAUGGGGGCAACCCUGAUCCAGCCAUGCCGCGUGAGUGAAGAAGGCCUUCGGGUUGUAAAGCUCUUUCGGCCGGGAAGAAAUCGCAUGGGCCAAUACCCUGUGUGGAUGACGGUACCGGAAUAAGAAGCACCGGCUAACUACGUGCCAGCAGCCGCGGUAAUACGUAGGGUGCGAGCGUUAAUCGGAAUUACUGGGCGUAAAGCGUGCGCAGGCGGUUUUGUAAGACAGGCGUGAAAUCCCCGGGCUUAACCUGGGAACUGCGUUUGUGACUGCAAGGCUAGAGUACGGCAGAGGGGGGUGGAAUUCCACGUGUAGCAGUGAAAUGCGUAGAGAUGUGGAGGAACACCAAUGGCGAAGGCAGCCCCCUGGGUCGAUACUGACGCUCAUGCACGAAAGCGUGGGUAGCAAACAGGAUUAGAUACCCUGGUAGUCCACGCCCUAAACUAUGUCAACUAGGUGUUGGGUGGGUAAAACCAUCUAGUACCGUAGCUAACGCGUGAAGUUGACCGCCUGGGGAGUACGGCCGCAAGGUUAAAACUCAAAGGAAUUGACGGGGACCCGCACAAGCGGUGGAUGAUGUGGAUUGAUUCGAUGCAACGCGAAAAACCUUACCUACCCUUGACAUGCCAGGAACUUGCCAGAGAUGGCUUGGUGCCCGAAAGGGAGCCUGGACACAGGUGCUGCAUGGCUGUCCUCAGCUCGUGUCGUGAGAUGUUGGGUUAAGUCCCGCAACGAGCGCAACCCUUGUCGUUAAUUGCCAUCAUUUAGUUGGGCACUUUAACGAGACUGCCGGUGACAAACCGGAGGAAGGUGGGGAUGACGUCAAGUCCUCAUGGCCCUUAUGGGUAGGGCUUCACACGUCAUACAAUGGUCGGUACAAAGGGUUGCCAAGCCGCGAGGCGGAGCCAAUCCCAGAAAGCCGAUCGUAGUCCGGAUUGCAGGCUGCAACUCGCCUGCAUGAAGUCGGAAUCGCUAGUAAUCGUGGAUCAGCAUGUCACGGUGAAUACGUUCCCGGGUCUUGUACACACCGCCCGUCACACCAUGGGAGCGGGUUCCGCCAGAAGUAGGUAGCCUAACCGCAAGGGGGGCGCUUACCACGGCGGGGUUC
rnacentral:rRNA from 1 species